rnacentral:snoRNA from 1 species
ACCCCAUGAUGUGGACACUUACGAAACAAUUCUUUGAAUCUUUCCCAUGCGUCGUACAAAAACUCAUAAUCCAAUUGUUGGGAAGUGGUCAUCUUAUUUCGCAAAUU